rnacentral:rRNA from 1 species
UACAUGGGGUGCAAGCGUUGCUCGGAAUUAUUGGGCGUAAAGCGCACGUAGGCGGUUUGUUAAGUCGGAUGUGAAAUCCCUCGGCUCAACUGAGGAAGUGCAUCCGAAACUGGCAGGCUUGAGUACUAAAGAGGGUCGCGGAAUUCCCGGUGUAGAGGUGAAAUUCGUAGAUAUCGGGAGGAACACCGGUGGCGAAGGCGGCGACCUGGGUAGAUACUGACGCUGAGGCGCGAAAGCGGGGGGAGCAAACAGG